rfam:Brassica napus, WGS project CCCW01000000 data, contig: 3895
AGAAUAUAAAAACAUGUCUCUUAAUUUUUAAUUAAAAAACUAAGAACCGUCUCUUAAAACUCUUAUUUAAGAACCGGUUCUUAACUUUUUUAGUUAAAAGUUAAGAGAUAGGUUCUUAUAUUCC